rnacentral:lncRNA from 1 species
ACCAAAUCGACGACUUCGCCACCGCCACCAUCGCCGAGUACGAGGCCAGCGUCGGCCCCGUCCCCGCCUUCGACAACCACCUCAGCCUGUUCAGCCAAGAAAUCCCACUGGAGUUCCCCGAACCCUUGGCUCCCCCUCCCGCUUCUUCGUCUUCGGCGUCGGUUCGGCUUCUCACCACGAGUGAGUUCUCGCUCCUUGCACCAGCAUUCAUGGUCACUAUGCCUUCUGCCGGUUCCUUGCGAUUGCAAACUAACUAGUCUACAACCAUUUCAGAGUUUCAGAGUAGUAUGCCUAGAACAGGCCAGACUGUAUGUCUGCCCAGUUUCAACUCGAAAGAUGAAGUAAUGAUGUAGGCAUAAUGGGAGAUAUAUCUCCUUGGUACUCUUCUAUGUACUGUAUCUGAUUGUAGUAACCAAAUAACGGUUGAGAUUUUGUAUAGUUCCUAGAUAGAUUAAUCACAGGCCAGUAGAAAUGUGCUAGUACGGUAGUACCUUUGAUUUAUUCCACAGCCAGUAGAGCUGUAGAGGUGUGGUUGUAGCUCUAUUACCUUGGCUCCCCCUCCUGCUUCUUCGGCUUCGGCUUCUCACCACGAGUGAGUUCUCGCUCCUUGCACCAGCAUUCAUGGUC